rnacentral:rRNA from 1 species
GUUUGAUCAUGGCUCAGGAUGAACGCNGGCGGCGNGUNUANGGCAUGCAAGUCGAAUGCUAGUUUACUAGCAUGNCAAACGGGAGAGUAACACAUUGGCAAUCUGCCNNAAGACGAGGAUAACNUUGCGAAAGCGAGAAUAAUACUCGAUAGUAUUAAAGGACAUAAGUUCUUUAAUUAAAGNUCCGGCGCUUAGGGAGGAGCNUAUGGCCUAUCAGCUUGUUGGUGAGAUAAUAGCUCACCAAGGCUACGACGGGUAUGGGGUGCGAGAGCAUGACCCCACUCACUGGGACUGAGACACUGCCCAGACUCCUACGGGAGGCUGCAGUCAAGAAUCUUCCUCAAUGGACGAAAGUCUGAAGGAGCGACGCCGCGUGCAUGAAGAAGCCCCUCGGGGUGUAAAGUGCUUUUAUCAGGGAAGAACAUAUGACGGUACCUGAUGAAUAAGGGGCUGCUAACCUCGUGCCAGCAGCAGCGGUAAUACGAGGGCCCCAAGCGUUAUCCGGAUUUAUUGGGCGUAAAGCGUCCGUCGGUUGUUUAUCGCAUCUCCUGUUAAAUCUCGAGGCCCAACCUCGAGCCAGCGGGAGAGAUGGAUAAACUAGAGGCCGGAAGAGGCAAGCGGAAUUGCUGGUGUAGGGGUUAAAUCCAUUAAUAUCAGCAGGAACACCAAAUGCGUAGGCAGCUUGCUAGAACGGUCCUGACACUCAGAGGACGAAAGCGUGGGGAGCGAAUGGGAUUAGAUACCCCAGUAGUCCACGCCGUAAACGAUGGAUACUAAGCAUUGGAAGUAUCGACCCUUUCAGUGUUGUUAAUUUAAGGUAACCCGUUAAGUAUCCCGCCUGGGGAGUACGAGCGCAAGCUUAAAACUCAAAGGAAUUGACG